rnacentral:rRNA from 1 species
AGGCUCAACCUCAAAUCUGCAGUAGAAACUAGGAGACUUGAGUAUAGUAGGGGUAGAGGGAAUUUCCAGUGGAGCGGUGAAAUGCGUAGAUAUUGGAAAGAACACCGAUGGCGAAGGCACUCUACUGGGCUAUUACUGACACUCAGAGACGAAAGCUAGGGGAGCAAAUGGGAUUAGAUACCCCAGAUAGUCCUAGCCGUAAACGAUGGAUACUCGAUGUUGGACGUAUCGACCCGUUCAGUAUCUUAGCUAACGCGUUAAGUAUCCCGCCUGGGGAGUACGCUCGCGAGAGUGAAACUCAAAGGAAUUGACGGGGGCCCGCACAAGCGGUGGAGGAUGUGGUUUAAUUCGAUGCCACGCGAAGAACCUGACCAGGGUUUGCUAGAAGUGUUGGCUUUCUGAAAAGAAUUCCUUAUUCCGCUUCUACAGGUGGUGCAUGGCUGUCGUCAGCUCGUGUCGUGAGGUGUUGGGUUAAGUCCCGCAACGAGCGCAACCCUUAUUUUUAGUU